GGGAGGCGGCAGGACCUACACAUGCAAGUCGAGCGAGAUCUUCGGAUCUAGCGGCGGACGGGUGAGUAACGCGUGGGAACGUGCCCUUCUCUACGGAAUAGUCCCGGGAAACUGGGUUUAAUACCGUAUACGCCCUUCGGGGGAAAGAUUUAUCGGAGAAGGAUCGGCCCGCGUUGGAUUAGGUAGUUGGUGGGGUAAUGGCCUACCAAGCCGACGAUCCAUAGCUGGUUUGAGAGGAUGAUCAGCCACACUGGGACUGAGACACGGCCCAGACUCCUACGGGAGGCAGCAGUGGGGAAUCUUAGACAAUGGGCGCAAGCCUGAUCUAGCCAUGCCGCGUGAGUGACGAAGGCCCUAGGGUCGUAAAGCUCUUUCACCAGGGAUGAUAAUGACAGUACCUGGAGAAGAAACCCCGGCUAACUCCGUGCCAGCAGCCGCGGUAAUACGGAGGGGGUUAGCGUUGUUCGGAAUUACUGGGCGUAAAGCGCGCGUAGGCGGGCUGUUAAGUCGGGGGUGAAAUCCCGGGGCUCAACCCCGGAACUGCCCUCGAUACUGGCAGC
rnacentral:rRNA from 1 species